UGCUCCCUACGGGGCGCAGCAGUGAGGAAUAUUGGUCAAUGGACGCAAGUCUGAACCAGCCAUGCCGCGUGCAGGAUGACGGCUCUAUGAGUUGUAAACUGCUUUUGUACAAGGGUAAACCUGAAUACGUGUAUUCAGCUGAAAGUACUGUACGAAUAAGGAUCGGCUAACUCCGUGCCAGCAGCCGCGGUAAUACGGAGGAUCCAAGCGUUAUCCGGAUUUAUUGGGUUUAAAGGGUGCGUAGGCGGAUUGAUAAGUUAGAGGUGAAAUGUCCGAGGUCAACUCGGGAACUG
rnacentral:rRNA from 1 species